rnacentral:lncRNA from 10 species
CCUUAAUCCCCUAUUAACACUGCAAAUACUAAAAAUAAGAUAAAAUUAUUUGGAGAAAGAAGGUUGUUUUUUGGAGUUAAAAGAGACUUCCUGUAAGAAGACAAACAACUCAAUAGAACAUGGGAAAGAGACUUGACAUUUCUUAAAAGAAGUGAUACAAAUGGCCCACAAGCCAGUGAAAAGAUUCUCAUUGUCAUUAGUCAUUAAGGAAAUGCAAGCUAAAACCACGACUACAUACCACUUCACACCCACUAGGAUGGUCAUAAUUUUAAAAAAUAGAAAAUAAGUGUUGUUAAGUAUGUAAAGAAACACAGCACAUUGCUGGUAGAAGUGAAAAAUGAUAUAGCUGCUGUGGAAAAUGCUUUCCUUUCAAGGCAUCUCAAUAAGUUAAAUCAUAACCCCCAGCAAUUUCAUCCUAGGUAUAUGCCCUUGAGAACUGAAAACAGGUGCACAAAUAAAAACUUGCACAUUAAUGUUUUCAGCAGCACAAGUCACCAUAGCCAGAAGGUGGAAGCAACCCUCAUGCCCAUUAAGCAGCUGAAUGAAUAAACAAAAUAUGGGAUACAGUGGAAUAUUAUUCAGCCUUGAAAAGAAAGGACUGAUACACGCUGCAACAUGGAUGACCCCCGGACGCACUAUGUUAGUAUUUCUUACAGUUAUUUUUAUGGACUGAAGUGGUUCAAGACUGAAAGGAGGGAAAAUAGUGGACUAUUGCAACAGUCCAAAUAUGAGAGGAAGAGGACCUGCAUGAAGGCAUUAACCAUACGGAUGGAGAGAAGAGGGCAGAUACAGGAGAUAACAACACACUAGGACUUGGGAACCAACUGGAUUUGGGAGGCGAGGAAGGGGGAAGGAAAGGCAGAAUCAAAGAUGAUUCAUAUAAUUGUAACUUGUAUUACUUGCUGUUCAUAAGUGUAGAAAUACCAGAUGAUGUUAUUUCUGGCAAAAAAUGAUGACUUACUUCACUUAGUGACCUAGAGGAAGUGUAAUUGAGAAAUCAUUAUCUGAUAACCCCAUAAAUACUGGUUAAGACUG